rnacentral:rRNA from 1 species
GCCCUUAGAGUUUGAUCCUGGCUCAGAGUGAACGCUGGCGGCAGGCCUAACACAUGCAAGUCGAACGGCAGCACAGAGGAGCUUGCUCCUUGGGUGGCGAGUGGCGGACGGGUGAGGAAUACGUCGGAAUCUGCCUAUUUGUGGGGGAUAACGUAGGGAAACUUACGCUAAUACCGCAUACGACCUACGGGUGAAAGUGGGGGACCGCAAGGCCUCACGCAGAUAGAUGAGCCGACGUCGGAUUAGCUAGUUGGCGGGGUAAAGGCCCACCAAGGCGACGAUCCGUAGCUGGUCUGAGAGGAUGAUCAGCCACACUGGAACUGAGACACGGUCCAGACUCCUACGGGAGGCAGCAGUGGGGAAUAUUGGACAAUGGGCGCAAGCCUGAUCCAGCCAUGCCGCGUGUGUGAAGAAGGCCUUCGGGUUGUAAAGCACUUUUGUCCGGAAAGAAAAGCUUAGGGUUAAUAACCCUGAGUCAUGACGGUACCGGAAGAAUAAGCACGGCUACUUC